CCCAGAAUAUAGACAGACUGACAGAGACCACACCACACUGUGAGACUGCACUGCUGGUGUCACUGACAACUUCAUUUCCUCUGAACUGCCUGAGAAGACGUUCGAUAACUCACAUGGACAAUAAAGGUAUUCAGUUAAGGAAUCCAAAGACCACUGGAGAAAUGAGACAUCUGGGGGGAAGUAAAAGAACAAAUCAUCCAGAAAAAAUGUACCAAGAAGAGGAGUAAAUUGGAUUAUUGGGUUCCCUGAAGAUGUUAUUGUCCCCAGACAGCAGGAAGUAACUUUAAUUACAAGACACCCACAUUUCCAAGAG